UACGUAGGGUGCGAGCGUUAAUCGGAAUUACUGGGCGUAAAGCGUGCGUAGGCGGUUUUGUAAGUUUGUCGUGAAAGCCCCGGGCUCAACCUGGGAAUUGCGAUGAAGACUGCAAGGCUUGAAUCUGGCAGAGGGGGGUAGAAUUCCACGUGUAGCAGUGAAAUGCGUAGAGAUGUGGAGGAACACCGAUGGCGAAGGCAGCCCCCUGGGUCAAGAUUGACGCUCAUGCACGAAAGCGUGGGGAGCAAACAGG
rnacentral:rRNA from 1 species